rnacentral:rRNA from 1 species
UACGUAGGCAGCAAGCGUUGUUCGGAGUUACUGGGCGUAAAGGGUGUGUAGGCGGUUCUUUAAGUUUGGUGUGAAAUCUCCCGGCUCAACUGGGAGGGUGCGCCGAAUACUGAGGGACUAGAGUACGGGAGAGGAAAGUGGAAUUCCUGGUGUAGCGGUGAAAUGCGUAGAUAUCAGGAGGAACACCGGUGGUGUAGACGGCUUUCUGGACCGACACUGACGCUGAGACACGAAGGCCAGGGGAGCAAACGGG